ACGCUGGCGGCAGGCCUAACACAUGCAAGUCGAGCGGUAGAGAGAAGCUUGCUUCUCUUGAGAGCGGCGGACGGGUGAGUAAUGCCUAGGAAUCUGCCUGGUAGUGGGGGAUAACGUCCGGAAACGGACGCUAAUACCGCAUACGUCCUACGGGAGAAAGCAGGGGACCUUCGGGCCUUGCGCUAUCAGAUGAGCCUAGGUCGGAUUAGCUAGUUGGUGAGGUAAUGGCUCACCAAGGCGACGAUCCGUAACUGGUCUGAGAGGAUGAUCAGUCACACUGGAACUGAGACACGGUCCAGACUCCUACGGGAGGCAGCAGUGGGGAAUAUUGGACAAUGGGCGAAAGCCUGAUCCAGCCAUGCCGCGUGUGUGAAGAAGGUCUUCGGAUUGUAAAGCACUUUCAGCGAGGAGGAAGGCAUUAAGGUUAAUAACCUUAGUGAUUGACGUUACUCGCAGAAGAAGCACCGGCUAACUCCGUGCCAGCAGCCGCGGUAAUACGGAGGGUGCAAGCGUUAAUCGGAAUUACUGGGCGUAAAGCGCACGCAGGCGGUUUGUUAAGUCAGAUGUGAAAUCCCCGAGCUUAACUUGGGAACUGCAUUUGAAACUGGCAAGCUAGAGUCUUGUAGAGGGGGGUAGAAUUCCAGGUGUAGCGGUGAAAUGCGUAGAGAUCUGGAGGAAUACCGGUGGCGAAGGCGGCCCCCUGGACAAAGACUGACGCUCAGGUGCGAAAGCGUGGGGAGCAAAC
rnacentral:rRNA from 1 species